AUGAAAAGUGCGUGACGAAAAAUAAAAAACAAGGAUCUUUAAAGCAAUUAAGACAUUCAUCGAUAUGAGAUCAUCUCAUAAGGUAACUUAACCUCGUUAUUUUAGCAGUUUGUUAUCAUUAUAUCAUUAAACGUUAGACACAAUCUCACUUGCCUGUAGGAGAGAUUCUACCAUUUGUUCGCAUUCUUUACGACGUUGCACUGUCACUUCGCUUUCCUGGAGUAAUUUAUCGAACGCCUGAGACUUGUAAAG